AGGAUGAACGCUGGCGGCGUGCUUAACACAUGCAAGUCACGGGGGCCCAGCAAUGGGCAACCGGCGAACGGGUGCGUAACACGUGAGCAACCUACCUAAGUGAGGGGAAUAGCCGGCCCAACGGCCGGGUAAUACCGCAUACGCUCGAAUUGAGGCAUUUUGAUUCGAGGAACCUACGGGGCACUAUGAGGGGCUCGCGGCCUAUCAGCUAGUUGGUGAGGUAACGGCUCACCAAGGCGACGACGGGUAGCUGGUCUGAGAGGAUGGCCAGCCACAUUGGGACUGAGAUACGGGCCCAGACUCCUACGGGAGGCAGCAGUGGGGAAUCGUUGCGCAAUGGCCUAACGGCUGACGCAGCGACGCCGCGUGAGGGAUGACGCUCUUCGGAGUGUAAACCUUCUUUUGUCUGAGACGUAUUGUCAGUCUUACAGUCUUGUAGUUCGGUAGGUACGUCGGAACGUAACGUA
rnacentral:rRNA from 1 species